AGCUUUCCCCUGAAAGUUCUCCAGGCGGCGGUCUCUUUUUUCUGCCUUUUUGUUUCCCUCUGGCGAGUCGGCGCCACUGUGAAUUUCCGUUUCCGGCGGUGUCCAAGCGGACCUGAGAACUCGCAGUUGUGAGCAGGUUAGAGUUACUCGUUAUUGGUAAAUAGCCAACUAUGGAGACUAAGGACCAGAAGAAACACAGAAAGAAAAACAGUGGACCCAAAGAUGAAAAGAAAAAGAGGUGGCAUCUGCAGGAUCUUCAGCUAGGAGAUGAAGAAGAUGCCCAGAAGAGAAAUCCCAACGCUUUUGCAGUUCAGUCUGCUGUGUGGAUGGCUCGAUCCUUUCACAGAACUCAGGAUUUGAAGACCAAAAAAGCAUCAUAUUCCCGUGGUUGAACGAACUCCACUAGAGCCCCCACCAAUAGUGGUAGUGGUGAUGGGGCCUCCAAAGUUGGAAAGAGCACUUUGAUAUAAUGCCUCAUUCGGAACUUCACCUGGCAGAAGUUGACCGAGAUCAGAGGCCCUGUGACAAUCGUGUCAGGUAAAAAACACAGACUCACCAUUAUUGAAUGCGGGUGCGACAUUAACAUGAUGAUCUAUCUGGCUAAAGUAGCAGAUCUGGUAA